UACGAAGGGGGCUAGCGUUGCUCGGAAUCACUGGGCGUAAAGCGCACGUAGGCGGAUUCUUAAGUCAGGGGUGAAAUCCCGGAGCUCAACUCCGGAACUGCCUCUGAUACUGAGGAUCUUGAGUUCGAGAGAGGUGAGUGGAACUGCGAGUGUAGAGGUGAAAUUCGUAGAUAUUCGCAAGAACACCAGUGGCGAAGGCGGCUCACUGGCUCGAUACUGACGCUGAGGCACGAAAGCGUGGGGAGCAAACAGG
rnacentral:rRNA from 1 species